CUCAGCUAAUAAGCAGCUGAGCUGGGACUCCCACUCAGCAAUGCAGCUCCAGGCCUGGCUGCUAACCCCUUCUUCCUUCUUGGCAGCUGCCUUCACAGAGGAAUUCAAGAGAUCUGUCUAGAAACUCCAGUGUCCAGGGAGACAGCUCAAGGAUGACCAUCUUGCUUGAACUUGGCAAGUUCCUUGUUGCGAUUUCUAACAUGGAAUUGUGAAAUCAUCCUGUUGGAAACUGCGCUCCGCCCCCGCCCCGACCCUGGGGGGCUCCACAUGAGGUCAGCAUCUGGGUCGCUUUGCCAGGGUCAGAAGACUGUUCUUCCAGGAAGGGCUGCAGAGACCCUGGGAACGGGACCAGCCCAGCUCACAAGUAUGAAGAGAAUGUCGGAGAGGAAGUGGUGGCUGUGAGUCAGCAUGAGUCAUCUCGUUCCAAUGAGAACGAAGACUGAGUCAUGUGGACAUCAUUGGGAAUGGAGGGAAAGAGUGACUGCAUGGCUGGUGCUUGCUGAGCCGCGGGCUGGUAUUCCAGAAGGGCUGUGCCUGAGUCGGUGUCUGCUUCAGACCUUCGGGGCCCCGGCGGCGGGAAGGUGGAGUCAGCCGCUUGUCCCUGAAUAACUGGGAGAUGAAACAGGAAGCUGUAUGACACAGUUGAUCGAAAAUGACACAGACACAGAAAAAUCAGGACUCGGCCCCCUCCAGUGCCUCUACCUGCUGCCCACAGCCGGAGUGCAGGUGAAGGGUUUCCCCUGGGGCCUGAUCCUAACUGCUGUGGACUCCAAGGGCCUCCACAUUCACGAUGAUGUGUUUGUGAUGUCGUGGUCACAGUCUCGUCUAGCCAGUUUCCUAUUGAUCUGACCAGUCCCUGUGUGUCUUAAUCCCUUUUCCUUCAUUAAAAGCAAAACUCAAGAAAAA